AUAUAUUUUGCUCCAUCACAAUUGUGUUUUACUUUAUUUCUUGUUCUUUUCUUGUUUUUAAUCUUUUAAGUCCCUCGACUUUAAUACCCUCGUGGAUAACAUAUCUGUGGAUCCUGAGACAGGAGACCUUUGGGUCGGAUGCCAUCCCAAUGGCAUGAAAAUCUUCUUCUAUGACUCAGAGAAUCCUCCUGCAUCAGAGGUGCUUCGAAUCCAGAACAUUCUAACAGAAGAACCUAAAGUGACACAGGUUUAUGCAGAAAAUGGCACAGUGUUGCAAGGCAGUACAGUUGCCUCUGUGUACAAAGGGAAACUGCUGAUUGGCACAGUGUUUCACAAAGCUCUUUACUGUGAGCUCUAACAGACUGAUUUGCACCCAUGCCAUAGAAACUGAGGCCAUUAUUUCAACCGCUUGCCAUAUUCCAAGGACCCAGUGUUCUUAGCUGAACAAUGAAUGCUUACCCUAAAUGUGGACAUCAUGAAGCAUCAAAGCACUGUUUAACUGGGAGCGAUAUGAUGUGUAGGGCUUUUUUUUGAGAAUACACUAUCAAAUCAG
rnacentral:sRNA from 1 species